rnacentral:rRNA from 1 species
AUUGAACGCUGGCGGCAGGCCUAACACAUGCAAGUCGAGCGAGCGGCGGACUGGCGAGUAAUGUAUGGGGACUGCCCGAUCGAGGGGGAUAACUACUGGAAACGUUGGCUAAUACCGCAUACUAUCCGAUAACCCAUAUGGGAUUAGCUAGUAGGUGGGGUAAAGGCUCACAUAGGAGACGAUCUCUAGCUGGUCCGAGAGGCUGAUCAGCCACACUGGGACUGAGACACGGCCCAGACUCCUACGGAGGCAGCAGUGGGGAAUAUUGCGCAAUGGGCGAAAGCCUGAUGGAGCCAUGCCGCGUGAAUGAAGAAGGCCUUAGGGUUGUAAAGUACUUUCGGCAGGGAGGCGUUACCUAAAGAGGAAGCACCGGCUAACUCCGUGCCAGCAGCCGCGGUAAUUC